rnacentral:snRNA from 1 species
CCGGAGGACCGAGUGCCGCUCACGCCCGG